UACGGAGGGGGCUAGCGUUGUUCGGAAUUACUGGGCUUAAAGCGCACGUAGGCGGCUUUGUAAGUUAGAGGUGAAAGCCCAGGGCUCAACCCUGGAAUUGCCUUUAAGACUGCAUCGCUUGAACAUCGGAGAGGUAAGUGGAAUUCCGAGUGUAGAGGUGAAAUUCGUAGAUAUUCGGAAGAACACCAGUGGCGAAGGCGACUUACUGGACGAUUGUUGACGCUGAGGUGCGAAAGCGUGGGGAGCAAACAGG
rnacentral:rRNA from 1 species